rfam:Triticum aestivum genome assembly, contig: Triticum_aestivum_CS42_TGACv1_scaffold_405685_5BL
GUAAUACUCCCUCCGUCUAGAAAUACUUAUCAUCAAAAUGGAUAAAAGAGGAUGUAUCUAGAUGUAUUUUAGUUUUAGAUACAUCUCUUUUUAUCCAUUUUAAUGACAAGUAUUUUCGGACGGAGGGAGUAGUUA